GUGCAACUGUUGAAUAUUUCCACUUCAUGAACUUGUCAGUAACAGUUCCCCACCACUAAACCACGGCGAAGGUGUUGCGUCACCGGGAGGGCUGAUAUGGCUGAUAUGGCUUUGCAACAGGUGGGAAACCCAGGGCAGCAGAUGGGCUACGGGGAUGAUGUAGUUGGCCCCCACCUUGGGUUCCAACCAGGCCCAAACCCCCCAACAGUUACAAUCAUAUUGAACAUUCGAGAACUUCUUGAUCGUCUGUGGAAUCUUGAUCGUGGGCCGGCUCACCAAGUGCAUGGGAACUACGUUCAUCUUUUUGUAAACCGCCUCAUCCAUAUCUAUAUGCACAUAUAGACUGCUACUUAGACAAGUGAUGUCUGUCAGUGGAUUCUAGGAAGAACAUCGACCUCAAGUGCAACCGAUUGAUUCACGUUUACAAGCGCAUCUGAACUGAGCCCACCUGCCUACCAACGGCCCAGGGACCACCUGCCCACCCGCUGCCCACCCCUCUACCCCUCUACCCGCUGCCCACCCCUCUACCCCUCUACCCGCUGCCCACCCCUCUACCCCUCUACCCGCUGCCCACCCCUCUACCCGCUGCCCAUUGACCACCCCUCUACCCGCUGCCCAUUGACCACCCCUCUACCCGCUGCCCAGGGACCACCCCUCUACCCGCUGCCCAAGGACCACCCCUCUACCCGUGCCCACCCCUCUACCCGCUGCCCACCCCUCUACCCGCUGCCCACCCCUCUACCCGCUGCCCACCCCUCUAUCCGCUGCCGAUGCCAACUGUGCCAACUGCAGACAACUGAAGCUUCCUCUAUAUUAACCACCAAGCGGCUUUAUGUACAUCACAAUUAUAUUACCGUAGCUUACUGCAGGGGGAUGAAUGAAGUCUGUAGCAUCCGCCACAUACAGACAAGACAACCACUAAAAACCAAAGAUUCUAGAACAAUUCUAGAAUCUUUGCUAAAAACAUAGUGGAUUUCACAUGCACAGACCACAGACAGUGCCGAACGGAGUGGCGUAGUCGCCAGCGUACCCGUGGCAACAAAGAACAAACAAAUUUACAAAAUAACAAGACAUAAGACAAAAGAUGCCGGACGGAGCGGCGUAAUCGCCUGCGUACCCGUGACAUCAAGACAUACAAAGACAGACACCAGACAACAAUUAACAUAUAAUACAAUAACAUAGAUUAACAAAAACACUUGCAACACAAGGCAAAACAAAAUGUCAAAUAAAUAAUAAAAGACAUACAAGACAUACUACAAACAAAUAAACAAAUGUCAAAUAAAUAAUAAAACAAACAAACAAAAAAAAACAGAAAAGUCCACGUCAACUUAGUCCAAUCGACUGCACUCAAGUCAGCUAGCCUAGCUAUCAGACCAUACGAAGACGGCGCUAGGCAGGCCGUCUGGAGAGCACCAGAUGUAGCAGCAGAAGCACCGAGCAGUCUGAAGCAGUGAGCGACCCUGCAGAUCAGCAAUUCGGAGGACCCCCGACAGCAUGUAUGUUUCAUGUACGUAUGUGUGUGUUGCCCUGCAGCCGUUUAUGUUAUGUUAUGUAAUUAUAUAGAUAUAAUCCAGUAAACUUCAUAUGUGUUCCAUAACCACUCUCUUUAUAAAGUGCAGACCUACCUCCUGUAGCUAUGUGUGUGUGUGUGUGUGUGUGUGUGUGUGUGUGUGUGUGUGUACUGUAUGUGUGUAUUGGUGUGUGUGUGUGUGUGUGUUGUUCCUCUCACCCUAAACCAGGGACCUAAUAAUUCUUGUAAGUGGAGAGGAUUUGAAGGAAUUUAAUUUGAUCAAAUUCAAUUCAAUUCAAUUCAAAAAACUUUAUUUAUCCCCGAGGGGCAAUUUCUCAUGCAGGCAUAGCGACACAUAAGACGCACAACAUAUAAGACAAACAAGACAAGACAAGGGGAGAACAGGACAGACAAGGGUGUGUGUGUGUGUGUGUGUGUGGGUCCAGUCCCCUAGUCCCAGGAGAGAGAGGAGGAGGGGGGUCCAUCUCUCGAAUGACGGCUGUAGAGCACCCGCGGUUGUUGACAUGAAGACAGCCUUUCCAGCGCUGCAUCCGUCUCCAUCCAGCCCCAACGGAGCGCUGAAGCCUCGCCUCCCUCGUCCUCGCGACCGUCGGAAUAUAGGCCACUCCACAGGCCCAUCCACGAACAUGCCCGCAAACAACCGUGCAGGUCUCUCCGACCCAGUAGAAACUGUGUAUCCGACAGGUCGGCCGUCAUCUGGAAGACCGCCUCCACUUGUCCAUCCAGAAAAUCCGGCAGAUGGAACCAAAAGCAGCCUUUAGAAGUUGCGGUCGUCCGAUGGAAUCCAACGAAAACAAAUGUGGCGUCCCCCCACGCUCCGUCACUAUGCAACUCCAAAAAGUCUGCCGUGUCCCACUGAGACCAAGAGCAGCAACACAUCUCAUAUCGGCAUGACCCAAAAACAAAGAGGAAGACGAUGCAGGAACACAAAAAUGUCAAAAACACCGACAACACAAACAAUACAACAAAAAACACUAUGCCAGCAAAGCUGGUCGCCACAAAAGCAGCGCCACGGCGUCGCCUAGCAACGAUAGUGAUUAGGGCUUAUAAGAAAUCAAAUCAAAAUUGUGAUUAGGUUAUAAGAAAUCAAGUCAAAAGCGUGUUUAGGGUUAUAAGAAAUCAAAUAAAAAGCGUGAUUAGGGUUAUAAGAAAUAUCAUCAAAUCAAAACCAAAUCAGAAGCGCUGUUUCAAUCAAUGCUGUCACCAAAUCUCAAAAGCUGCAAUUACUGGUUUAGCUGGCAACUCAUACGCAGUGGUUAGUAAUGUGACAUUUAUGUUUUUUUUAAAAACUCAUGUUAUUAGUUUGUGACAGAUAGUCAGAAGUACUCCACACGAUUGCUAAUUCUAUAAUGAUUAGUAAUUAUGGGAUAUUAUAUAGAAGUUAUUGUCAUGCUUGGAGUAGCUAGAGCUCCUCAUAUUGUUUAAUAUGUUAUCUUGCCAUGCAGUUCAUUGGUUUUCAAUGUGUUACACAGUGAAUCUUAAACUUAAACUUAACCCACAAAUAAAAAUGCAAUCACACAA